AUAAGCACCGGCUAACUCCGUGCCAGCAGCCGCGCAAUACGGAGGGUGCAAGCGUUACUCGGAAUCACUGGGCGUAAAGGGCGCGUAGGGGAUUAUCAAGUCUCUUGUGAAAUCUAAUGGCUUAACCAUUAAACUGCUUGGGAAACUGAUAGUCUAGAGUGAGGGAGAGGCAGAUGGAAUUGGUGGUGUAGGGGUAAAAUCCGUAGAUAUCACCAAGAAUACCCAUUGCGAAGGCAAUCUGCUGGAAGUCAACUGACGCUAAGGCGCGAAAGCGUGGGGAGCAAACAGGAUUAGAUACCCUGGUAGUCCACGCCCUAAACGAUGUACACUAGUUGUUGGGAUGCUAGUCAUCUCAGUAAUGCAGCUAACGCAUUAAGUGUACCGCCUGGGGAGUACGGUCGCAAGAUUAAAACUCAAAGGAAUAGACGGGGACCCGCACAAGCGGUGGAGCAUGUGGUUUAAUUCGAAGAUACGCGAAGAACCUUACCUGGGCUUGAUAUCCUAAGAACCUUUUAGAGAUAAGAGGGUGCUAGCUUGCUAGAACUUAGAGACAGGUGCUGCACGGCUGUCGUCAGCUCGUGUCGUGAGAUGUUGGGUUAAGUCCCGCAACGAGCGCAACCCACGUAUUUAGUUGCUAACGGUUCGGCCGAGCACUCUAAAUAGACUGCCUUCGUAAGGAGGAGAAAGGUGUGGACGACGUCAAGUCAUCAUGGCCCUUAUGCCCAGGGCGACACACG
rnacentral:rRNA from 1 species